UACGUAGGGGCGAUCGUUGUCCGGAAUGAUUGGGCGUAAAGGGCGCGUAGGCGUCUUGUUAAGUCUGGAGUGGAAGUCCUCUUUUCAAGGGAGGAAUUGCUUUGGAAACUGGCGGGCUUGAGUGCAGGAGAGGUUAUCGGAAUUCCUGGUGUAGCGGUGAAAUGCGUAGAGAUCGGGAGGAACACCAGUGGCGAAGGCGGGUAACUGGACUGCAACUGACGCUGAGGCGCGAAAGUGUGGGGAGCAAACAGGAUUAGAUACCCUGGUAGUCCCUGA
rnacentral:rRNA from 1 species